AAACUUACAUUUUAAAUCAUGAACUUUACAUUCCUUCCAAUUUUUCCUUAAAAUUGAGCUCCGGCCAUCGGAGAGGCUGAUGUGGCGCCUAUGUGGCAGCCGGGCACGUGCCAUGUAAUUCGCCGGAAAAUAACUUAGACGUCGCACCUGCUUCAACCCAAGCAGUUUUCUCCGCCACAUCAACUGUUAUUUCACUGAGAUUGAUCAAAUCAAUGAUCACAAACUGGACCUGGGAUAGAUAAGAUAGUCCCUCGAAGUCAUGGCCGCCACUUCGAGUCCUAAUCUGUAUGUCAUUCUUUUUGGCACAAUAUAUGACCGGUGAGAUUUGGGAUUCGUGUUCUGGGGUUAUGAUCACUUGCGGUUUUGAAGCUGAUGCGAACCUCAGAUUUUGGAUGGAGAAUUGCAAGAUAGAUGAAUAAGAAGAGUUGAUUGGGGUGUAAAUGAUGUUGGAUAUGGAAGAGUAGUUGUUGAAUUCUUUGGUCAGACAUAGACGGAGCCGGGGGGGGGGGGCUAGGGGGGCCUAGAGCCCCCUCCCAAAUUUUGAGUUUUUUUUUUAAUUUUAAAAUAUAUAUAGAUAUAUGUUUAUACCUAUUAUAAAAUAAUUUUGUUUAAUAAAAGAGUAUUUGGUUAUUAUAUUCUCUCAUAUAUAUACUUAAUUUAAGGAUAAUUCCGUUAUUUAAAACUAUAUAAUCUAUGAAAUAUUGUUUGUUAUUAUUACUAUUAUACUUAUCUUUUAAUAAAAAAUGCCUAAUAUGUAUGAAAUGCUAAAAAAAAUUAUAAUGUAUUGAAACUAAUUUGUAAUAUAUAGAAAAUAUAUAAUCUAUGAACAUGUUGUUUGUUAUUAUUAUUAUGCUUGCCUUUUAAUAAAAAAUGUCUUAAAUAUACGGAAUGUCUCAAAAAAGUUUUGUGAUAUAUUGAAACUAUAUAAUCUAUGAAAAUAUUGUUCGUUAUUAUUAGUAUUAUGCUCGUAUUUUAAUAAAAAAAUACCUUAAAUAUACAGAAUGCCCAAAAAAAAUUUCUCGCCCCAAAAUUAAUUCCUGGCUCCAUCCCUGUGGUCAGACAUACAAGAAAUUUGUCUGUAGACGAUGAUGCUUGUGACCACGAAAUGAUGGCAAGAAGAAUAAAAGUAGUUGUAAAAAUAUUGCUUGGAUAUUUCAUGAUUCGAAGAUGAUCUAGUUUGUGGAGUCUCGUUCAUCAAAGCUCAAGCAUUGUGCUUUGUUCUAGAUCAUGCAUGUGUUGGGUAGAAAACUAAAUAGAAAAUAAAAUAUAUUUUUGGGUAAUUCCACACGCAAUCUAUUCUUUUUAUAUAAUUUUCCAAAUUUUGUUACAUACAAUAUAAAUAGAAACAAUAGGACCGAAUGGCCCUACUGGGCAUACAAAAUCAAAAUUUAGCCUCAAAUCUUAAAACAUCAAAUUUUAGCCAUUAAUUAGGCGGUAUGCCUAAUUUGCCCCUUUUCCAUCGCACUCCAAUGGCUGCCUCUUCCGCCGCGCUGAACUCAAAUGGCCUCCGAAGUGAAACCGCCGAGCUGCUCCACUAUCCUCCGUCCUUCAAUUGUCGUCGCGGAGUUCUGAGCCUGCCGUCGAAUGCUCUCACGAACCGGAGUUUAAUCUGCCAGCGCCGCUUUCGCCGCGUCGGAGUGGUGAGAUCGUCCGCCACCACGGCGGAGUCGGAGGCUGACUACGCCGCCGGCGAAGGAGCACCAGGUGUCGGCAGAUCUGAUCUGAUCUGUAGGCGGCGGCGACAGAUCUAAUCUGAUGAGGCGGUGGCGGAUCUGAUCUGAUGAGGCGGCGGCGGUGGAUCUGAUCUGAUCGUUGCGCCGCCUCCUCCAUCGGCAGAUCUGAUCUCCGCCUCCUUCGAUUUCAGCCAUCGACAGAUCUGAUCUGAUCUGAUCUGUGCUGCACGUAUGGCACUAAUAGUGCCAUAAGUGCACACUUCCCCCUAGGGUUUAGAUAUUCCAUUUAGGGUUUAGAUUAUUCAUUUGGGGUUUAGAUGUUCCAUUUAGGGUUUAGAUUAUCCAUUUAGGGUUUAGACGUUCCAUUUAGGGUUUAAAUGAUGUUGUUGUUUCUGUAUUUGUGCUGAUGACCAUUUUACUUAGUUUUAUUUUGAAUUUCGUUGGCACUAAUAGUGACAUAAGUGCCAAAUGACUAUUGUACUGGUUUAUUUUGGAUUUUCGAUGGCACUUAUGGCACUUAUAGUGCCAUAAGUGCCUAACCCGACCCGGCACGCGACCCGCGUGCCUGAUCCUACCCAGUCCGUCUCAUUAAGGGCAAAAACGUCCAAAUCAAUAAAAAUGGCCAAAAUUUGUGUUUUUUCAAUGUGUGACCAUAAAUUGUGUUUUAUGCUUCAUUUUUGCUACUUCAAAAUUUUACUCAUAAAUAUAUUAUUUUUAUAGUUACGUUUUUGACCUUCUAAUGCCCAACGCAAUAACUCUUAAUCAUACAAUGCGCGCGUAGUGUCCCACCAUAUCCUACAUGAAUUUUGUAGAGUAUUUAGGAGUUCACAAUAUUAAAGUCAGCUCUCUCUCUCUCUCAUUUAAAUUUUCUAUGAAAUAUAAUGAACAUAUUUUGAUGGUUUUCGACCCAAGAACUUUGUGUGACUCUAACAAUUAUUUUCUCCGUCCCACGAAUCUUGACACGUUUUCUUUUUUGGACCGUCCCACGAAUUUUGACACAUUUUCAAAUAAGGUAAUAACUAUUACAUUCUCUCUCCUACUUUAUCACUUUUAUACUUUAUUAACUACACACUUAAAACACUAAUCUACAAUUCCUUAGUUUCCGUGCCAAAACCAAACGUGUCAAGAUUCGUGGGACGGAGGGAAUAAUAAACUACAAAUCCAGUUUUCAAAGUGCCAUGUCAAUUUUAGAUCUCAUCCAUUUUUUUCUAUCCUUUCCCAAUAAUAAACUAGUUCUUAAAUUUUUGAGACCCCGCUAUAAUAAAAAAAAAAAGGAAAAGAAAAACAAGAAAGAGAGCCCAAUUUCAACCAAAAGCAAGAGAAAAACACAAAUUGGAGGUAGGUCCAUGGCGUCAGAUGUGAAGUUGGUUGCGUGUUCGAAACCAAUUUCUCGCCAAUUUCUUGAAAACCAGUUUCUACUCUCCCCAAUGGUGGUUCCCAAACUUGAAACUAGCUUUUUUGUGUUGUUGGAGGCACCCUUAGGGAUUUAAAUUGGAUUGGACUUGUGUACCGUACUCGAAUUAAUCAAGUGUAACGGAACCUAAAAUUGGCGCAAUCACAGCACCCGAUUAGUAAAUCGGACCGGGUACAUAGGUCGAAGACUUGUAUUUACCCAAUAUAUAAUUAAAAGAACUCCUUUUUCUGCAAAAAAGAGACUAAAAGCAAUAACGUACAGACAAGCUAUAAUAUGUCAGAUAACACACGCCAAAUCAGGAAUCGUGGAGUGUCGGAGGCCGAGACAGGAAGCAACGGGAAUGAGCGCCAAAGCUUGAAGGUGCUGCGACUUCGUGUGCUAGCUCAAGGUCGGAGCUGAGCUGAUGGCUUGCACAAUGAAAGAGAGUCAGAGAGAGAGAGAGACGAGAUAGUUGGGGAUUUCACUUAAAUUUUUUUUAUACUUUUUUAUUAGAUUUAAGGUUCUAUUUUUUUAAAAUAUUAAUUAUAUAAUUUUAGGAAUAUCAGAUAUACCCAAUACGUGAUCGAGUAUACUCGAUACCCGACUUUCUCACAUGCAUCUCUAAUAUUCGAUCCCAAUUCGAUAUUCUAUAUCUGACCGAGUAUUGAUUGAUCGGGUCGAAUUGAAUUGGGUAUACUCGAUAAGCUAGUUCUAAUUGCCAUCCCUACAAAAAGUUGAGAUGAUGUCGACAAAAUCAAAUGGAAUGAAUCCAAAAAUGAAGGAUUUUUGGUACAUAUCUUAAAGAACCUAAAAAGAUGAUGGAUGGACUGUUAGAGAUAUUUGAAAGGAUUUUAUUUUGCGAAAGGGAAAAUUAUGAACAAAAAAAUUGUCAAUAUCUUAGUGAAAGAAUUAUUAAUAUACUCCCUCCGUCCCGCUUUUAGUAUUCAUAUUUCUAUUUUAGACUGUCCCACAUUUUGGUAUAUAUUUUUAUUUUUAGUAAAAGUAGGUGAGACUCUUAUUCUACUUUAAUUAUUUUAACACUUAAAUAGAAGACAUGACCCUUAUUCCACUCAUAAAAAAUCCAAUCAUUUUAUUAAAACUCGUGUCACUCUCAAAUGGAUACUAAAAAUUGGGACAGAUGGAGUAUUAAUUAGGUCAAGUGGGAUUAAGAUUAAAGGUUUUAUAUUAAUUAUAUUUUAUUUUUGGCCCACUAACCUCUAGUAAAUGAUCUUGUUGAAGCAUUAAAUGCAUUCUUUGGGAAAAUGAUUAAAUAUUAAAAACCAUGGCCACAUUAAAUGUAUUCUUUGGAAAAAUGAUUAAAUAUUAAAAAACAUGGCCUUUCCGCCCUUUCUGACUUUAUUUAGUCCUAUUAUGCAUAUUCGUGAAUUAUAUGCGUAGAAGAUUACAAAAGCUUUAUGAAAAAAAAAUUGAAAUAAAAAAAUUGUAAUAAUUUAGAAACAUUACAUUUCAUUAUAACAAUAAUUACUUUUUUUUACGACAAUAAUUACUUUUUAACUUUUUAUUUUUAAAGAUUAAAAAUAAAAUAAAAAUAAAAUAAAAAUUAAGAAGUCCCUAAUUAUUUCUAAUUUUAGACUGGGCCUAUUAGAGUGGACGUCCCAAAAAGAAAAACGAGCCUAUUGAAGUGCGACGGAGGGAGUAGUAAUUUUUAACUUAUCUGCCUACACAAAAAAAGUCCCUCCAAAAAAUUUGAAUGACAACCAUUUUGAGACUCCACGGUUGUAAUAUUUAAUUAACAGCCUCAAAUAUCCAAAAAAAAGUAGUAAUAUUUUAUCUGAAUGUUUAUAAACACAUUUAAUUAUUUAUAUUAUUAUUACACAACUAUAUUUACAUGUGCUUAAUUAUGCAUAGUUAAAAAAAAUUACAACAUUUCCUAAUAAAUAAAAUUGUUUUAAACAUAAACUCAAAAUAGUAUAAAUAUAUAAUUUCAAAAUAUAUUGUAAAAGUAAAUUAAAAAAUUAAAAAUUAAAUUAUUAAUAAAAUCUGAAAAAAAAAGCAAUAAAAAGGAAAGAAGGCAGUUCUCGAAAAUCGUGUCCUACCAUAAUUGUUAAGUUGACUGUGGUAAAUAAAUUUAGAACAUUAAAAUAAAAACAAAAAUACACUCAAAACACCUUUACACUUGGCAGCAUCACAAGUUCACAAUCCUCAUGUAUUACAUUAUAUGCAGGAUGGACUCUCCUAUAUAAGGAUAUUAACAAUUAUACAAACUUAAUCAAGUUCAUUCUUACAUCCAGGGGCGGAGCUAGGGGUGGGGCAGGGGGGUCACUGGGCCCCCCUGGGAUUUUCAAAAAUACUAGGAUAUUUUUAUAAUUUUAUAUUAAAAAUAAAAAAUAUGUAAUUUUAUCUACAUCAUUAUCUUGUUGAGCUAUUUUAUACUCUAAUUGAUAUGUAAGUUUUAGAGUUAAGAUGCUUAGAAUAAGUAAUCACAUAAUUAAUUUAUACAUAUCAUGCUUGGAUUUGAUUUUAGAGAUUUAUUUUUUGAAUUUGAUAUUGAAAGUUACUUUGCCUUACAAAGUUUCAUGGAAUUUUGGAAAAUAAAAUCACAAACUAUUUUGAAUUUGCAAUUUUAAUGUCUUUUGAGUGUGGCGAAUUAAAUCACUAUUUUUUCAAGUUUUGCAAUUUCGUCCCCCAAUUUUUUUCGAUCGCUAGAGUGUUGAAUUGGAGCUUACGUGUAUUAGUAAAGACGACGACGUUUUUGUGAGGCCUAAACGACAUCGUUUCGUAACAUUUCAACUAAAAAUUUCUCCAAAUUAGAAAGAGACUGUAUCAUGUAUUUGCACUAUAUGUAAUAUUCAAUAUUUAGUAAUUUUAUUGCAAAAUAUAUCGUAACAUGAAUAUGAUCAGCUUGAAAAUCUGUUAAAAUGUGUUUUUUGUAAUUUAAAUAAUAUUAUAAUUGUGUUAUUGAUUAUCAUUUAUUUUUAAUUUAAGUAAUAUUUUUAUUUAAUUAUUAAUUUUCUUUAAAAAAAAAAUGAAACAAACAGAUAAAAUCAAGCUCGUUCCAUGCUUACAUCAAUGUACAUGUCAUCCAUUUUAGAUAAAUUCGAUGAAGCAAAUCGAAUUGUCAACCAGAUCUGUAGAGUUGCUUAAGUCAAACAGCAAUGCAUAAUAGAAAAUAGAAAAUAAGUUUAUUAUUGAGGAUUUGCGUGAAUCACGUUGAAUGCAAUGGCGGAAUGCUCUGUUCGUUCCUGAAGAAUUAACAGGAUAACAAAUGCCAGCGGUGAAAGAGUUGAGUUGCGUUUUGCUCCAAAGUCCUGCCGAUUCUGAAAACGGUAACUCUUUUUGGAACAUCCACUAGUUGUACCUGUCGGAACAUCACAUAAUUAUCGAAUUAAUUAAGGAGAUCAUAAAUACAAGUAACUGAAAUUGAAGAAAAACAAUAAAAUGGGAAAAAGUUGGAAACGAGCAUUUGAUAUGUUGUAGCAUUCAAGUAAUUAUACCUUCCAAGAAACGAUCACGCCGAAGCUGGCACCUCCACCGCCUCUGAUUGCCCAGAACAGAUCUUCACCCACUUGAUCUUCUAUCAAGAAUUCUGCCAUUGACAUCGAUUAUUUUGCGUCGAUGACUUGAUCUGCAGCUAAGCCAUAUUUUCUCAUCAACGUGCCGUAGCCUCCUCCGCUAAAGUGACCGCCGACACCAAUUGUUGGACAAACACCCAGCAGGAAACCCAGAAUACCACUUUCUCGGCUAUCCUGUAAUAUAAAGAGCCAAUAGUUGCACCGGAUUCAACCCAUGCUGUCUUUUCACCAACAUCAACACUUAUUUCACUAAAUUUGAUCAAAUCAAUGAUCACGAACAGGACUUGGGAUACAUAAGAUAGUCCCUCGUAGUCAUGGCCACCACUUCGAGUUCUGAUCUGCAGGCCAUUCUCUUUGGCGCAAUAUAUGAUAGGUGGGAUUUGGGAUUCGUGUUCUGGGGUGAUGAUCACUUGUGGUUUAGGAACUGAAUCUGACGCGAAUCUCAGAUUCUGGAUGGAAAAUCGAAGAACGGAAGAGUAUGAUGAAUUUGUAGGGGUGUAAACGUUGCUUGAAAUCGAAGAAUAGUUCUUGAAUUGUUGGGUUAGACAUUCAAGAAAAUCUCGGUGCUUAUCGGCGGCAGAAGCGGCGCGUGAGGACAAAGAGAUGAAAAGAAGAAGAAGAAUGAAUGAGAGUGUAGAAAUGUUAGGAAUCUUCAUGAUUCAGUGAUGAUGAUGAUUUUAAUUGUGUUUAAAAGUCUCCACCGUAAUCUACUUAUAGGAAAAGUAUGCGAAUGUUUGAAUUCGAGACGUCAGAUAUUGUUCGUCGAAAUUCAGCAUUUAGAUUAAUCAAAAGCCACAUAAAUUCUCUAUGAAAAUUAUGUAUUCUCUUGCCUUCUCAAAGUUCUUAUCUCCAUUACUUGUGAG
rnacentral:lncRNA from 1 species